UUGGGUGUAGUGUAUGGUGCACAGCAACUUACUGUUAUUAAACCAGCUAGCCCUUAUUACGCUGCAGGUCGGGGUUCGACUCCCCGCGCCCGAA